CUGGCGGCGUGCCUAACACAUGCAAGUCGAACGAGAAAGUGGAGCAAUCCAUGAGUAAAGUGGCGACCGGGUGAGUAACACAUGACUAACCUACCUCCGAGUGGGGAAUAACUCCGGGAAACCGGGGCUAAUACCGCAUAACAUCGCAAGAUCAAAGCAGCAAUGCGCUUGGAGAGGGGGUCGCGGCUGAUUAGCUAGUUGGCGGGGUAACGGCCCACCAAGGCGAAGAUCGGUAUCCGGCCUGAGAGGGCGCACGGGCACACUGGAACUGAAACACGGUCCAGACUCCUACGGGAGGCAGCAGUGGGGAAUUUUGCGCAAUGGGGGAAACCCUGACGCAGCAACGCCGCGUGGAGGAUGAAGCCCUUUGGGGCGUAAACUCCUUUCGACUCGGAAGAUAAUGACGGUACGAGUGGAAGAAGCACCGGCUAACUCUGUGCCAGCAGCCGCGGUAAUACAGAGGGUGCGAGCGUUGUUCGGAAUUAUUGGGCGUAAAGGGCGC
rnacentral:rRNA from 1 species